UUUAGUUUUAAUUUUAGGUUUAUAAUUAAUUUUAUUAAUGUUGUAUAUAUAAGAAUUGUUAAAUAAUUAGUUUAUUUUAAUACUAAGAUCUGAGAGAAUUAACGAAAGUUAAAUACGGAAAUUAAUAAGAGUAGAUUUAAAUACUUGUGCCAGCAAUAGCGGUUAAACUUGAUCUAUUAAUUAAUUAAAUGUAAUUUUUAGUAUUGUGUUUAAAGGUGAGUUAAAUAAAAUAUUUAGAGUUUUGGUGAAAUAAAAACUUUAAUUUAAUAGUUUAAUUUAAUUAAAGCAAUUAUUAAUAAAUUUUAAUAAAAGACUAGGAUUAGAUACCCUAUUAUAAAAUUUAAAUUAAGAUAAUUAAUAAUUAAAUGUAAAUCAUUAAAAUUAUAAGAUUUGGCGGCUAUGUAUCCUUGUUAGAGAAACCUGUGUAUUGAAAUUGAUGAGCCACGAUAGGGAUAACUCAAAUUUUGUUUAUGUAUUGCUGUUGAGUAAUGGUACAUUUAAUGUAUGGUUAUAAUAUUAUGAUUUAUUUAAAUAGUAAUUCAAGUCAAAAUGUAAUUUAUUUGAGAAUGUGCAUGGGUUAUAAUUAUAUAUAUUCAAUGGAUAAUUAUUUUGAAUAUUAAUUUGAAAGAGGAUUUAAGAGUAAAUUUUAAAAAUUAUUAAAGUUGAAAUUAGUAUUAUUUAGUGUACAAAUUGCCCGUCAAUUUCAUUAAUAGUGAAGUAAGUCGUAACAUAGUAAAAGUACCGGAAGGUGUUUUUAGACUAAA
rnacentral:ncRNA from 1 species